ACUCAAAUGAAUUGACGGGGGCCCGCACAAGCAGUGGAUUAUGUGGUUUAAUUCGAAGCAACGCGAAGAACCUUACCAGGUCUUGACAUACCACGAGUAGCGUAGAGAUACGUGAUGCCCUUCGGGGCGUGGAUACAGGUGGUGCAUGGUUGUCGUCAGCUCGUGUCGUGAGAUGUUGGGUUAAGUCCCGCAACGAGCGCAACCCCUACUAUUAGUUGCUACGCAAGAGCACUCUAAUGGGACUGCCGUUGACAAAACGGAGGAAGGUGGGGAUGAUGUCAAAUCAUCAUGCCCCUUAUGACCUGGGCAACACACGUAAUACAAUGGCGCUUUAACAACGGGAAGCGAAGGAGCGAUCUGGAGCGAAUCUCCAAAAAGCGUCUCAGUUCGGAUUGCAGGCUGCAACCCGCCUGCAUGAAGUCGGAAUUGCUAGUAAUCGCGGAUCAGCACGCCGCGGUGAAUACGUUCCCGGGCCUUGUACACACCGCCCGU
rnacentral:rRNA from 1 species